GCUUACGGCCACACCGCCUGGUUCACGUGAUCUCGUUUGAUCUCGGAAGCAGAUAGGUUGGGCCUGGUUAGUACUGGAUGGGAGACCGCCUGGGAAUACCAGGUGCUGUAAGCU
rnacentral:rRNA from 1 species